AAGACCUUACAAUGUCCCGUCUCCAAUCCAAGGUCAGUAGCUCGGCAAACCCGGUGCCGCGGAAAUCCAUCACAUGAAGAAUUUUCUACAACGCCGUUCUGGUGAACUGCAGAGCCAGAUCCGUCGGAAAAAUUCGCUGCCUUCUCAGGAUUCCCAUCCGAACUGUUUCCAGUAACCCUAGGAGAGACUGUGUCGCCAGAACUGCUCUGUGAGAUUUGCUCUUCGGUUAGUAUAGUCUGUCCAAAAAGCACAAACUGAG
rnacentral:misc_RNA from 1 species